AUGAAGGAGAGUGGUGGCAAUGAAGAUGAGCAUGUGGGAACGCAGCGUCAUCGGCGUCCAUGUUGCGACCGGCCUCAACAUCAAGAAGGCGUCACACUAAGCUGUCUAUACAUCAUCCCCACCACCCCAGCUGCGUCAUUGCUACAUUUGGACUCCAUGGGAUUUGAUGAGCUUGUUGCUCUUCUGAAAGUCCAUAUUGUGAUGCCAAACAUGAGUGGCGGGCGGGAGUGCCAAGGGUGGCGGGAGACCUGGCAUCUACCUAGAUUGGUUAUAUAUACUUUGGCAAUGUUACCUGUGGAAAUAGGAAUGAUUUUCUGA
rnacentral:rRNA from 1 species